UAGUGCACACAAAGUAAACUGCACGCUGUAGUUUUGAGCAUAAAACGCUGAAACCGGAGAAAUAAGACGUGCGAGGGGAACGAUAACGACGACAAGAGUCUCCCGAUCGUUUAUUCUCGCUGUCCUGUGAACAACACCGGCGUGGUGUUAAUUGUUUGCUGUUUUCGCGAUCGUGUCGAGCAUGAGGAUAUCACCAGCAGCUCCUGAAACGCAAGUCUGCCACACAUCUGUUCGACCAACGCCAGUUGAUCUAAACGCCAGUAGAUCUGGAACACCGGGACGCAGACAGCCUCACCGCUGGAUGAUUGUGCUAGACACUUUUCCCCGGACCGUAACCUGUUGUUUCAACCGCUGUAAAGAAGAAGAGCUAGCGUGUAUGUGACUCCCAUCCCGGACUUCCCUUUCGGACCUAGGACCCCCGUUCCCCUCACUGUAUAUAUCUGCACCUGGUGACUGUGUAAAUAAACGUUGUUUCCCCUGAACGCUGCUCUGCGCCUGAGUCCUACUACACCGCAUGACAAGGGGUCUGACUUUGUCAUUAAUAUCUCUUUUCUUUACAUAAGAAACUCUUGAAUUGCUUUUGCAGUACGCUUUGGGUCAGUAUCCAUUUGCACUGUAAAGUGCUGCCUGAUCAGAUUUGCGCAGCAAAUCGUCAGUAUUUUACGCGUCGGGAGUGAGAACGGGUUGGGUUUAAUGCUAAAUAUAAAGAUAAAUCUAAAAUAAAUAUACAGAAAUAUAAAGCAAAAGUCUGCAGUUAUGCCAGCAGCUGCUUGAGGCUGUUUUGGGGUUUAGCAGUACUUUAAUCAAACAAUAAAUAACUAUAUUUGUCCACCAAUUUUCAUGUUUAUCGAUUAGAGAUGGGACACUUGAGUGUGUCCAAACUUUUAUCUGAUACCAUGUGUGACAAUCAUAAGGAAUGAUGUGUGUUUGUCUUUAUGAAUGAUUGUGUAUAAAACAUGCAAAACAUGUAUCUGUGGUGUUGUAUGAUGUGGGCUGUCAUGUUUAUUGUUACUAAUGGAAAAAAAGAUGAAGCUGCGCAAACUAAGGGUGACACAUGCUUUGUCAUUUCUAUUUUUCUGCAGGUUGGGAACAAUACUGCACAUGACAAAGUUUGUAAAAUGACUAAUAAGUAAACAGGGAGAUUUUUGUCUUUUCAGCUUCGUAGUCCAGCGAGAGUGAACCAGAGCACCGCUGCUGAAGUGGUUUUCAUGAACCCAGUUAACAAGACACUGACUGAUUGCACUCUGACUAUUUCUGGAAGUGGUCUAGUGGAUGGGGAGCAAAAAUGCAUACUUCCAGAUCUGAAGCCAAGCAACAGAAUACGUGCCACUGUAUUCCUGUUUCCCAACAAGACUGGCAAGAAGACUCUGGUGGCCAGCUUUGACUGCUCCUCCUUCAGACACCUAAAGUGCACCUGCAUUGUCAACGUCCUCCCAUAAAUCCUCAGAAUCACAGAAUAGGAGUUGUGUAAUCUCAAUGAGUAAAUCAAUAAAAAAUUACUCUUUUAAAAAAUACUUUAUUAGCUUUAAAAAGCAAUGUGAUAAGAGAGUUUUUUCUUUG